rnacentral:rRNA from 1 species
UUAAGCGACUAAGCGUACACGGUGGAUGCCCUGGCAGUCAGAGGCGAUGAAGGACGUGCUAAUCUGCGAUAAGCGUCGGUAAGGUGAUAUGAACCGUUAUAACCGGCGAUUUCCGAAUGGGGAAACCCAGUGUGUUUCGACACACUAUCAUUAACUGAAUCCAUAGGUUAAUGAGGCGAACCGGGGGAACUGAAACAUCUAAGUACCCCGAGGAAAAGAAAUCAACCGAGAUUCCCCCAGUAGCGGCGAGCGAACGGGGAGCAGCCCAGAGCCUGAAUCAGUGUGUGUGUUAGUGGAAGCGUCUGGAAAGGCGCGCGAUACAGGGUGACAGCCCCGUACACAAAAAUGCACAUAUUGUGAGCUCGAUGAGUAGGGCGGGACACGUGGUAUCCUGUCUGAAUAUGGGGGGACCAUCCUCCAAGGCUAAAUACUCCUGACUGACCGAUAGUGAACCAGUACCGUGAGGGAAAGGCGAAAAGAACCCCGGCGAGGGGAGUGAAAAAGAACCUGAAACCGUGUACGUACAAGCAGUGGGAGCCUCUUUUAUGGGGUGACUGCGUACCUUUUGUAUAAUGGGUCAGCGACUUAUAUUCUGUAGCAAGGUUAACCGAAUAGGGAGCCGAAGGAAACCGAGUCUUAACUGGGCGUUAAGUUGCAGGGUAUAGACCCGAAACCCGGUGAUCAGCCAUGGGCAGGUUGAAGGUUGGGUAACACUAACUGGAGGACCGAACCGACUAAUGUUGAAAAAUUAGCGGAUGACUUGUGGCUGGGGGUGAAAGGCCAAUCAAACCGGGAGAUAGCUGGUUCUCCCCGAAAGCUAUUUAGGUAGCGCCUCGUGAAUUCAUCUCCGGGGGUAGAGCACUGUUUCGGCAAGGGGGUCAUCCCGACUUACCAACCCGAUGCAAACUGCGAAUACCGGAGAAUGUUAUCACGGGAGACACACGGCGGUGCUAACGUCCGUCGUGAAGAGGGAAACAACCCAGACCGCCAGCUAAGGUCCCAAAGUCAUGGUUAAGUGGGAAACGAUGUGGGAAGGCCCAGACAGCCAGGAUGUUGGCUUAGAAGCAGCCAUCAUUUAAAGAAAGCGUAAUAGCUCACUGGUCGAGUCGGCCUGCGCGGAAGAUGUAACGGGGCUAAACCAUGCACCGAAGCUGCGGCAGCGACACUGUGUUGUUGGGUAGGGGAGCGUUCUGUAAGCCUGUGAAGGUGUACUGUGAGGUAUGCUGGAGGUAUCAGAAGUGCGAAUGCUGACAUAAGUAACGAUAAAGCGGGUGAAAAGCCCGCUCGCCGGAAGACCAAGGGUUCCUGUCCAACGUUAAUCGGGGCAGGGUGAGUCGACCCCUAAGGCGAGGCCGAAAGGCGUAGUCGAUGGGAAACAGGUUAAUAUUCCUGUACUUGGUGUUACUGCGAAGGGGACGGAGAAGGCUAUGUUGGCCGGGCGACGGUUGUCCCGGUUUAAGCGUGUAGGCUGGUUUUCCAGGCAAAUCCGGAAAAUCAAGGCUGAGGCGUGAUGACGAGGCACUACGGUGCUGAAGCAACAAAUGCCCUGCUUCCGUGAAAAGCCUCUAAGCAUCAGGUAACAUCAAAUCGUACCCCAAACCGACACAGGUGGUCAGGUAGAGAAUACCAAGGCGCUUGAGAGAACUCGGGUGAAGGAACUAGGCAAAAUGGUGCCGUAACUUCGGGAGAAGGCACGCUGAUAUGUAGGUGAAGUCCCUCGCGGAUGGAGCUGAAAUCAGUCGAAGAUACCAGCUGGCUGCAACUGUUUAUUAAAACACAGCACUGUGCAAACACGAAAGUGGACGUAUACGGUGUGACGCCUGCCCGGUGCCGGAAGGUUAAUUGAUGGGGUCAGCGCAAGCGAAGCUCUUGAUCGAAGCCCGGUAAACGGCGGCCGUAACUAUAACGGUCCUAAGGUAGCGAAAUUCCUUGUCGGGUAAGUUCCGACCUGCACGAAUGGCGUAAUGAUGGCGCUGUCUCCACCCGAGACUCAGUGAAAUUGAACUCGCUGUGAAGAUGCAGUGUACCCGCGGCAAGACGGAAAGACCCCGUGAACCUUUACUAUAGCUUGACACUGAACAUUGAGCCUUGAUGUGUAGGAUAGGUGGGAGGCUUUGAAGUGUGGACGCCAGUCUGCAUGGAGCCGACCUUGAAAUACCACCCUUUAAUGUUUGAUGUUCUAACGUGGACCCGUGAUCCGGGUUGCGGACAGUGUCUGGUGGGUAGUUUGACUGGGGCGGUCUCCUCCUAAAGAGUAACGGAGGAGCACGAAGGUUGGCUAAUCGGUCGGACAUCAGGAGGUUAGUGCAAUGGCAUAAGCCAGCUUGACUGCGAGCGUGACGGCGCGAGCAGGUGCGAAAGCAGGUCAUAGUGAUCCGGUGGUUCUGAAUGGAAGGGCCAUCGCUCAACGGAUAAAAGGUACUCCGGGGAUAACAGGCUGAUACCGCCCAAGAGUUCAUAUCGACGGCGGUGUUUGGCACCUCGAUGUCGGCUCAUCACAUCCGGGCUGAAGUAGGUCCCAAGGGUAUGGCUGUUCGCCAUUUAAAGUGGUACGCGAGCUGGGUUUAGAACGUCGUGAGACAGUUCGGUCCCUAUCUGCCGUGGGCGCUGGAGAACUGAGGGGGGCUGCUCCUAGUACGAGAGGACCGGAGUGGACGCAUCACUGGUGUUCGGGUUGUCAUGCCAAUGGCACUGCCCGGUAGCUAAAUGCGGAAGAGAUAAGUGCUGAAAGCAUCUAAGCACGAAACUUGCCCCGAGAUGAGUUCUCCCUGACCCUUUAAGGGUCCUGAAGGAACGUUGAAGACGACGACGUUGAUAGGCCGGGUGUGUAAGCGCAGCGAUGCGUUGAGCUAACCGGUACUAAUGAACCGUGAGGCUUAACCU